rnacentral:lncRNA from 1 species
CAGGUCAGUAGGAGAUUUGAAGAAGGUGAAAAAUUUCUCAAUAUUGGAGAUGAAAGACCAAUUUCAGUUCUAGCAUUAGAAAUUAUUAAGCUUAUAUUCAAGUCAAAUAUAAUUGUUCUCAGUGAAUGUCACUUUUGUCCUUCCUUUUUAUUGAACAUUAUUUCUGUAGGCCUCUUGGCCAUGAACGGUUAUAAAAUUUUAAUAAAAAAAAUAAUUUUAAUAUCAUUAUGAAUGGACAGCUAAACAAUAGUAUUUACAUAUUGUCACAACC